CGGUCUUUGGUAGUUCAUAGUAACUUUUCGAAUCGCAUGACUUUACGUCGGCGAUGGUUCAUUCAAAUUUCUGCCCUAUCAAGUUCGAUGGUAGGAUAGAGGCCUACCAUGCUUUUUACGGGUAACGGCGAAUUAGGGUUCGAUUCCGGAGAGGGAGCCUGAGAAACGGCUACCACAUCUAAGGAAGGCAGCAGGCGCGCAAAUUACCCAAUCCUGAUUCAGGGAGGUAGUGACAAUAAAUAACAAUCCAGGACUUCGGUCUUGGAAUUGGAAUGAGAACAAUUUAAAUCUCUUAUCGAGGAACAAUUGGAGGGCAAGUCUGGUGCCAGCAGCCGGGUAAUUCCA
rnacentral:rRNA from 1 species